GGAGAUAGCUCAGUCAGAAGAGCGUGAGACCCUUAAUCUCAGAGUCAUGGGUUCAAAUCCCACACUGGGCCA